GAUCUGGAACAGGAGCCCAGCCCAGGAUUCCCAGGUGUCCCUAGUCCAUCCCCAGGACAGAACACAGACCUCUCACCAUGGAGUUUGGGCUCAGCUGGAUUUUCCUUGUUGCUAUUUUAAGAGGUGUCCAGUGUGAGGUGCAGCUGGUGGAGUCUGGGGGAGGCUUGGUGAAGCCUGGGGGUUCCCUCAAACUCUCCUGCCUGGCCUCUGGAUUCACCUUCAGUAGCUACGGAAAGAACUGGGUCCGCCAGGUCCCAGGGAAGGGGCUGGAGUGGGUCUCAUACAUUAGUAGUGGUAAUGUUAGCAUAUACUAUGCCAAAUCUGUGAAAGGCCGAUUCACCAUCUCCAGAGACAGUGGCAAGGACAUGCUUUACCUGCAAAUGAACAACCUGAGAGCUGAGGACACGGCCAUGUAUUACUGUGCAAGUGACCCAGUGAGGGAAAGUCAUUGUGAGCCCAGACAAAAACUUCCCAGAAGGAGACAAGAGGGCUAG